AGCUUUGCGCAGUGGCAGUAUCGUAGCCAAUGAGGUUUAUCCGAGGCGCGAUUAUUGCUAAUUGAAAACUUUUCCCAAUACUGUAAAGGCAUUUUCUUCCCACUGUUCCUCACUUUUAACAUUAUCACAAAUCAAGUGAU